AUGUUGCCAUGUUUUCCAUCACAUUGUAGUCAUCUCCCUUACCCUUGCAUAGGCUGGUAUCUAGCACCAUGAACUCUCCAGAUCUUUUUUGUUAUGUGAUUGCUGAAGCAUUUUCCUGGCACAGCAGUAAUGAUUGAUGAACACACUUCAGUUAUUUCAACAGGAAUUCAGCAAUUACAGAAUGCCUCUCUACAUCCUGUGGUCCUCUGGAGCAGCGAAGCAGGAAAAGGUGGAUUUCAUCUGUUGAUGAUUCUUCUGUAGUGAGAUGAGGAAAGCUUUGAUUAGGCUUCAUUUGAUUCAUGAUCCUUCUGCAAGCAAGUUCAAGGGAAUGUGCUGAGGGGGUAGGCACAAAAAACACUGAACCUGUGAUUUGAACAGCAACUUGUUUUAAAUUGAAGAAAUGUUUCUUCACUUCUGUAUGCUCUUGUGGUAGGCAUUGGAGCAAACCAGAUUUUGAUAAAGAUGGCCUAGGGAGAGGCUGGCCAAGUUGGUGGUUCUGUAAUGGGGAGGAAGUAUGACAGCACUGAACAAUACAAGCUGUUGGAAGUUGGAGGAUUUUGAUAGUGCUCCCUUUUCCUUUGACUUGAUGGUAUCACUGAAAGCAAGGGAGCUAUGCUGAUCAACACUAUAUACCCAUUUCUUCUGCUCCCUCAGGCAGGCUGGAGUGAUUUUGAGAGCAUAGAUCAUUUAUGUCUCAGCCAAGAAGCAUUUCUGCAUGCUGCUAAAAUACAUUAAAUAAUAUUCGGUUUGCAUAGCAAGAGCUCUAGUUAAAAUUCCUACAGUGUUUCAGUUAUUCUUUUAUUAUUCCAGUUGCUUAUAACUUCCUGAAAUGCUCAUGUCUCAAGUUGAAAUUUUCCAGACUUGAUCUUGGCCUGACAAUGACCUUUCUUCCCUUUUCUUCUUUGUUUCUCUAUUCUCUGAGGUAUUAAGUGAAUAUGGCUAAGACGUUUCUUUUUUAAUGAGAAGAAAAUAGUAGAAAAAUAUGUUUUGGUUAUUACUUUAAGACUCUGAGAUUGUGAAUAGCACAAGUGGUACAGCUGUUUGAGAAAUGGUGGUGAAAAUCCGCAGAAGUGCUCCUUAAAUCUUUGCAGAAUCAGUAAGAGAUGGCCACUCAAAAUUUUAAGUCUUAAAACUUAAGUUUUUUUCAUCAUGUGCAAGCAUUAUGCUCUUUCAUAAUUAUCACGUGCAGUUAAUUUGGCCUGAUCAGUGAACUGACUGUUGGAGUCAAAUGAAGGAGUUAUCCUUGCUGAAAGAACAGAUCUGUUUUUCAUUGCUUGCCACAGCCCUGGUGGCACAGAGCUCAUAAUGUGAGACCAGAAUAGCACAGCUGGUGAGCGUUGCACUGGACCUGCUGCCUUUGGGACGCUCUUCCUGCUCUAACCAGGGCUCAGUUCUGGUUGAAAACGUUGGUGUUCUUGGAAAUUGCUCUGAACAGAAAGCUGUUAAAAACAAAUCUUUAUUUUUAAAUAAACUUUCUGACUGGCUCUUCUCAAGAUGAAGGCUGAAGUAGUGUAGAGCAGAACUGUAGAGAAGGGGAUGUGUACUUAGGAUAGAAGGAAAUUGUAAGGUGCUUUCCUUUAAAUUAAUGUUGCUUACACAGAUUAUAUAUAGACAUUUUAAGAAUAUUGAUGGUGAUUGUAUUGAUAAACAGCUGUUUAUGUUUUU
rnacentral:lncRNA from 7 species